GCUAGACAUGGGUGAAAUUGGAUACCAAGCUUAAUGGUUUACCUACAGCAUCAUAGGAAAAUGGCAAUGAUAAAAUGGGAGAGAAUGGAUUGAUUAUUGCUGCUUGAGCCCAUACAGAAAUAGGGCCUUGGAGUUGCUGGAUGCCAUUGAUUGCUAUCUAUUCAUUCUCACAACAACUUUAAGGAAAAUGCAGCCAAGAGGAGAUAUACUCCCAGGAUGAAGUUGUUCUUUGAAGUUUCCUUAUCUGCCUAAAGACUGGACCUGCCAAAAAGAAAACAAUUACUGCUGGUCCCUUCCCUGAGUUUUCAAUAACUGAACUCACAUGACAGGAGGAAACACUGAAG
rnacentral:lncRNA from 1 species